AGCGGUGCCCGUGAGACAGCAGCCCCUGGAGGUUGUGCACCGGGAUCCCUGCCCCCCCACCGUCUACCGGAGGACUCAGGACCGCCCCCUCCAGGGAGGAGGAUGGAGGGAGGCUUCUCCCCAGCCCUGCGGGUAGUGAGGGCUGCUGGGUGCUGGUCUCUAAUCUUGGUUGAGCUGUCUAACUGCAGUGUUCCCUGUCUGGAUUCUGUGUCCAUACUAGCUCACUCAGGGCUUUUUCACUUGGAGCUCACAGAUUCCGUGAGGCUUACUAUCCAGCAAAUUCCUGGGAUCCUACUGUCUCUGCCUCCCCAGCACUGGAAUUACAGGUAUAAAUCACUCA